UCCCAGGUGGCUCAGUGGGUAAAGAAUCUGCCUGCAAUGCAGGAGAGGCGGGUUCAAUCCCUGGGUUGGGAA
rnacentral:tRNA from 1 species